rnacentral:rRNA from 1 species
UACGUAGGGGGGCAAGCGUUUGUCCGGAUUUAUUGGGCGUAAAGAGCGUGUAGGCGGCCAGGUAGGUCUGCUGUGAAAACUCGAGGCUCAACCUCGAGACGUCGGCGGAAACCAUCUGGCUAGAGUCCGGAAGAGGAGAGUGGAAUUCCCGGUGUAGCGGUGAAAUGCGCAGAUAUCGGGAAGAACACCCGUGGCGAAGGCGGCUCUCUGGGACGGUACUGACGCUGAGACGCGAAAAGCGUGGGGAGCGAACAGG